rnacentral:rRNA from 1 species
CCCUUAGAUGUUCUGGGCCGCACCCGCGCUACAAUGGCAAAGUCAACGAGCUAAUCCUAUGCUGACAAGCACAGGUAAUCUUUUCAGUCUUUGUCGUGAUGGGGAUAGACCCUUGUAAUUAUUGGUCUCCAACGAGGAAUUCCUAGUAAACGCAAGUCAUCAACUUGCAUUGAUUACGUCCCUGCCCUUUGUACACACCGCCCGUCGCACCUACCGAUUGAAUGGUCCGGUGAAGUCUUCGGACCGAUGCUAACUCGUUGGCAACGGAAAGUCGAGUAAACCUUACCAUUUAGAGGAAGGUGAAGUCGUAACA